UUCGCGACCACUCUCGUCCCGCUCCUAACAACCAAAGGCGCGGGAUGCGCCAAGGAAAAUCGAAACGAAUCUGACUCCUGCCUCGGUGCAUUGCAUCGUGUCGGCGAGUGUAUUCGAUAAGUCAUAACGACUCUCGGCAACGGAUAUCUCGGCUCUCGCAUCGAUGAAGAACGUAGCAAAAUGCGAUACGUGGUGUGAAUUGCAGGAUCCCGUGAACCAUCGAGUUUUUGAACGCAAGUUGCGCCCGAAGCCUUUAGGCCGAGGGCACGUCUGCCUGGGCGUCACGCACCGUUGCCCCCCAAACCCCCUCAGUCCUCCACGGAGGAUUGGCGAGGCGCGUGGGGGGCGUAAAGUGGCUUCCCGUCGGCUUUGUCCCGCGGUUGGCCUAAAAAUGAAUCCCUAGCCGCGGUGCGCGCGGCAUUCGGUGGUCAUCGAUCCCUUUCGUUACCCCGCCGCGCGCUCACGUGCCGCGAAGGAUGUCACACUAGUAAACCCGACGCCUCGCUUUGUGAAGAGCGGAGCUUACAACGCGACCCCAGGUCAGGCGGGGCUACCCGCUGAA
rnacentral:rRNA from 1 species